ACAAUCAACUUAGAAUUUGGCAACGGCGCCAAUUUGAUGUUGAGAGUUUUCAAGGCUCCCAAUCAAAUGUUAUAGUAUAAAGGAUGUCAAACCAGUUCUAAGUGAUUCUAAAGCAAAGAGAAUGCAAGACCAUGCUUAAUCUAAGUGCUAUCAAUUGGUGAGAUGAUUUUGAACUAGAACACUAUUAAAAUGCAAUAAAGAACAAAGCUUUCCUUUCUUAUGGAAUGGAAGAACUCAUGGGCUAAGGGAAUUGACAUUGGGUGAUCAAGUUUCAAUCUAAAGGUGGUAUCUUUCAAUCAAUCUAUUAACCUUAGACCUAGACACAAUCUUAAACAAACUCUAUCUCUAGAUGAAUGCUCAUUCAAUAAGAUAACUCAAGCAUCAAAUCUCUUUGGUUGAAUAUUAUCUAAGCAAUCAUUAAUUUCAAGCCUAUUAGC
rnacentral:lncRNA from 1 species